rnacentral:rRNA from 1 species
AUUGAACGCUAGCGGGAUGCUUUACACAUGCAAGUCGAACGGCAGCGCGGACUUCGGUCUCUCGGCGAGGUGCCGACGGGCGGGUAAGGUAGCGGAACGUGCGCAGUAGCUGGGUAUAACUACGCGACAGCGUAGCUAAUACCGCAAUAGCGCUUCCGAGGUAAGCAUGGGAUCGUAAGACCUUGCGCUCUUGGAGCGGUCGAUAUCGGAUUAGCUAGUUGGUGAGGUAACGGCUCACCAAGGCGACGAUCCGUAGCUGGUUUGAGAGGACGACCAGCCACACUGGAACUGAGACACGGCCCAGACUCCUACGGGAGGCAGCAGUGGGGAAUUUUGGACAAUGGGCGCAAGCCUGAUCCAGCCAUACCGCGUGUGCGAUGAAGGCCUUCGGGUUGUAAAGCACUUUUGGCAGGAAAGAAAAGUAGCGGGCUAAUACCCCGUGGAACUGACGGUACCUGAAGAAUAAGCACCGGCUAACUACGUG